UACGGGGGGGGCAAGCGUUGUUCGGAAUUACUGGGCGUAAAGGGCUCGUAGGUGGCCAACUAAGUCAGACGUGAAAUCCCCAGGCUCAACCUGGGAACUGCGUCUGAUACUGGAUGGCUUGAAUUCGGGAGAGGGAUGCAGAAUUCCAGGUGUAGCGGUGAAAUGCGUAGAUAUCUGAAGGAACAUCAGUGGCGAAAGCGACUUCCUGGACCAAUACUGACGCUCAUGCACGAAAGCGUGGGGAGCAAACAGG
rnacentral:rRNA from 1 species